UUUCCGUAGGUGAACCUGCGGAAGGAUCAUUAUUGAAUGAAACACUUCUGGCUUUAUGCUGUUGUGCUGGCCCUUUGGGCAAUGUGCACACGGCUCUGGUCACUUGUUUCUUCUGUUCCACCUGUGCACUGCCUGUAGACACGCUGUGUCUAUGAUAUUUGUUAACACACAACAAUGUUAGUUGGCAUGUUAUAUAUAAUAAGAAAAUAUACAACUUUCAACAACGGAUCUCUUGGCUCUC
rnacentral:misc_RNA from 1 species